CAGUCGCCGCGGUAAUACAGAGGGUGCGAGCGUUAAUCGGAUUUACUGGGCGUAAAGCGUGCGUAGGCGGCUUCUUAAGUCGGAUGUGAAAUCCCUGAGCUUAACUUAGGAAUUGCAUUCGAUACUGGGAAGCUAAAGUAUGGAGAGGAUGGUAGAAUUCCAGGUGUAGCGGUGAAAUGCGUAGAGAUCUGGAGGAAUACCGAUGGCGAAGGCAGCCAUCUGGCCUAAUACUGACGCUGAGGUACGAAAGCAUGGGGAGCAAACAGGAUUAGAUACCCCGGUAGUCCCUGUCUCUUAUACC
rnacentral:rRNA from 1 species